rnacentral:rRNA from 1 species
GACGAACGCUGGCGGCGUGCUUAACACAUGCAAGUCGAACGGAAAGGCCCUUCGGGGUACUCGAGUGGUUAACGGGUGAGUAACACGUGGGUGAUCUGCCCUGCACUUUGGGAUAAGCCUGGGAAACUGGGUCUAAUACCGAAUAGGACCACGCGCUUCAUGGUGUGUGGUGGAAAGCUUUUGCGGUGUGGGAUGGGCCCGCGGCCUAUCAGCUUGUUGGUGGGGUAAUGGCCUACCAAGGCGACGACGGGUAGCCGGCCUGAGAGGGUGACCGGCCACACUGGGACUGAGAUACGGCCCAGACUCCUACGGGAGGCAGCAGUGGGGAAUAUUGCACAAUGGGCGCAAGCCUGAUGCAGCGACGCCGCGUGAGGGAUGACGGCCUUCGGGUUGUAAACCUCUUUCAAUAGGGACGAAGCGCAAGUGACGGUACCUAUAGAAGAAGCACCGGCCAACUACGUGCCAGCAGCCGCGGUAAUACGUAGGGUGCGAGCGUUGUCCGGAAUUACUGGGCGUAAAGAGCUCGUAGGUGGUUUGUCGCGUUGUUCGUGAAAACUCACAGCUUAACUGUGGGCGUGCGGGCGAUACGGGCAGACUAGAGUACUGCAGGGGAGACUGGAAUUCCUGGUGUAGCGGUGGAAUGCGCAGAUAUCAGGAGGAACACCGGUGGCGAAGGCGGGUCUCUGGGCAGUAACUGACGCUGAGGAGCGAAAGCGUGGGGAGCGAACAGGAUUAGAUACCCUGGUAGUCCACGCCGUAAACGGUGGGUACUAGGUGUGGGUUCCUUCCUUGGGAUCCGUGCCGUAGCUAACGCAUUAAGUACCCCGCCUGGGGAGUACGGCCGCAAGGCUAAAACUCAAAGGAAUUGACGGGGGCCCGCACAAGCGGCGGAGCAUGUGGAUUAAUUCGAUGCAACGCGAAGAACCUUACCUGGGUUUGACAUGCACAGGACGCCGGCAGAGAUGUCGGUUCCCUUGUGGCCUGUGUGCAGGUGGUGCAUGGCUGUCGUCAGCUCGUGUCGUGAGAUGUUGGGUUAAGUCCCGCAACGAGCGCAACCCUUGUCCUAUGUUGCCAGCGGGUUAUGCCGGGGACUCGUAGGAGACUGCCGGGGUCAACUCGGAGGAAGGUGGGGAUGACGUCAAGUCAUCAUGCCCCUUAUGUCCAGGGCUUCACACAUGCUACAAUGGCCGGUACAAAGGGCUGCGAUGCCGUGAGGUGGAGCGAAUCCUUUCAAAGCCGGUCUCAGUUCGGAUCGGGGUCUGCAACUCGACCCCGUGAAGUCGGAGUCGCUAGUAAUCGCAGAUCAGCAACGCUGCGGUGAAAACGUUCCCGGGCCU